GGGUAACGGCCUACCAAGGCGACGAUACGUAGCCGACCUGAGAGGGUGAUCGGCCACACUGGAACUGAGACACGGUCCAGACUCCUACGGGAGGCAGCAGUAGGGAAUCUUCCGCAAUGGGCGAAAGCCUGACGGAGCAACGCCGCGUGAGUGAUGAAGGUCUUCGGAUCGUAAAGCUCUGUUGUUAGGGAAGAACAAAUGUGUAAGUAACUGUGCACAUCUUGACGGUACCUAACCAGAAAGCCACGGCUAACUACGUGCCAGCAGCCGCGGUAAUACGUAGGUGGCAAGCGUUAUCCGGAAUUAUUGGGCGUAAAGCGCGCGUAGGCGGUUUUUUAAGUCUGAUGUGAAAGCCCACGGCUCAACCGUGGAGGGUCAUUGGAAACUGGAAAACUUGAGUGCAGAAGAGGAAAGUGGAAUUCCAUGUGUAGCGGUGAAAUGCGCAGAGAUAUGGAGGAACACCAGUGGCGAAGGCGGCUUUCUGGUCUGCAACUGACGCUGAUGUGCGAAAGCGUGGGGAUCAAACAGGAUUAGAUACCCUGGUAGUCCACGCCGUAAACGAUGAGUGCUAAGUGUUAGGGGGUUUCCGCCCCUUAGUGCUGCAGCUAACGCAUUAAGCACUCCGCCUGGGGAGUACGGUCGCAAGACUGA
rnacentral:rRNA from 1 species